GGAGUAGGUUUCAUCAUAUGCCCCCAACGCAACAAGAAACAUAAUUUCAUGUGACAUUUGGCCAUCUCUUAUUCAUGAUAAAUAUUUGCAAAAAGAUCACAUAUGCAACUUAUGCUCCAACAUGGAUAUCAUAAAAUGAAGAGACAGAGAAAAUUUAUGAAGAACUGGAUAAGAUUCGUUGAUUCUUUGGUACUUAAUAACUUCAAUGCAAAGAUUAGAAUAAGAAUCCUCAGGUCAGAGCUGAUAGUGUUCAAACUCCCAUGAGGCUGCAGCUGCCUGGAUCUAGGAAUCAUACCAGAACACUACGCAUGUGGCAAAGAAAAGGGAGCUUGCAGCACGAAUUUGUCAGGACCCCAAGCUUGGCAGCAGCAUCGGGGUGAUGUCAGAGACAUCAGUGGAAACUUCUGUGACUAGAAGUAGAAUCUUCAAACUCCAGGUUUCAACUGAUGAUCAACCAGGAAGUGGUUGUUGCUAUGAAUUGUGGUGGAAGUGGAGGAGGAAAGAAAUCACCAUCCCCCGCAUGGUUGACUAAAUGUGACUUGCUGGAAGACAUGGAGAGAUACCACUAGAAUCUGGUCCAUUGCUCUCUAUAGGUGACUUUGAUUCCUUGCUAAAAGGGAGCAAGAGAAAGGUCCAAGAGAUUGGCUGCUCUGUUCUUUUCUAAGAAGGAGUACUGGACUAGAAUUUUAUCUUUCUGAUUCCCUAAAUAAUGCUGGUCUAGGGGCAUGAUUUUUUUUUUAAGGCUAAGCCACUUCCCUGGUUACAAUCUCUUAAAAGAGAAGAGUAUUCUCAAACUUAGACACACCAAAUGCUAGUAUUCGCAAAUAGUGAAUACUGAGUAAACACAUUUAUCCAAGCAGAUAGCACACAGAAACUGGAAAUAUUCUACAGAGUCAAAAAUACAUGAGUGAAAGAGCUCUAUAUAUGAAUGUGAGCUGAAAUCUUAUUCAACCAAGAGAAAUCUCGAUCUUAUCCAAGGCAAAAUUCACCAGUCUCUAGGAGGACAUGCAUGACUGCCACUUCCCAAAGAUUUUUCUCUCUCCCCUAGGUCUCUUCCCAGAGACUGGAACUACAAAUGUGUCUUGCUUGAAGAAGGAAUCAAGAAUGUCUCUCUUCUACAAAGUUCUCACCAGCUCUGCCCCUCAUAUAGAAAUGAAUCAGCCUCUCCAACAGUUAAGAGAUGCUUAUGCAAAAUACUCCAAACUUGAAACCUGGGUUAGAUAUAAAUACAUAAAUAAAAGUGGCUUUGAUAGAUCUGAUCCUAAACACAACGUGAGGCUUGUUUCUUCAACAAUUUUGGUGCUGCGUUCCUGACUAAUUCUCAGCUGAAAUUGGCAAUGAGAUUGCUCUCAAAUCAAUCAUAGCAUACCACUUAAUAGGUAAGAGGCCUUCUGAAACUUUAUAGGGAUGUCAGUGAAGAAACUGUCUUUACCUGCCAGAUUCUCACUCCAAUUUACACAAAGCUGACCUUUAAAAUUUACAGUGUUAGCAAAUGUAUAUCCUUGAGCAAGUUGAGAGCUGAUCUUACUGGAAAAGCUGGAAAUUAUUGGAAUGAAUCCUUUCUUUCUUCCUUUUUUUUUUUAAAUAAACCAAAUCCUAUGUGAAUUGAAUUUCAGAAAGAAUAGUUUCAGAGUGUUUUUCUCCUGAGUGUGAAUUGAGUUCUCCUUUUCAGUGUGUAUUGCCCAAAUUGUCAUGCCUGCGUGAAUCAUAGCCGCUACCUUGCCCUUUUUACCCUUCCGUGUCCUAUAUAAAAAUUGAGAAAGAGCUAAAAGAUCAAAAGUUUCAUCAAGCCCUAGGAAGAAGAGACACCUGCAUUUCAUGUACAUCUACACUAUGAUC